rnacentral:rRNA from 1 species
GAUGAACGCUAGCGGGAGGCUUAACACAUGCAAGUCGAGGGGUACGGUAGCAAUACUGGAGACCGGCGCACGGGUGAGUAACGCGUAUGCAACCUGCCCUUUACAGGGGGAUAGCCCGUCGAAAGGCGGAUUAAUACCCCAUAAGAUAGUACCCUCGCAUGAGGGAGCUAAUAAAGCUGAGGCGGUAAAGGAUGGGCAUGCGUGACAUUAGCUAGUUGGUAGGGUAACGGCCUACCAAGGCUACGAUGUCUAGGGGUUCUGAGAGGAAGGUCCCCCACACUGGUACUGAGACACGGAUCAGACUCCUACGGGAGGCAGCAGUGAGGAAUAUUGGUCAAUGGGCGCGAGCCUGAACCAGCCAUCCCGCGUGCAGGAAGACGGCCCUAUGGGUUGUAAACUGCUUUUGUGCAGGAAGAACGCCAGAUACGUGUAUUUGGGUGACGGUACUGCAUGAAUAAGCACCGGCUAACUCCGUG